UACGUAGGGUGCAAGCGUUAAUCGGAAUUACUGGGCGUAAAGCGUGCGCAGGCGGUUGUGUAAGACAGGUGUGAAAUCCCCGGGCUUAACCUGGGAAUUGCAUUUGUGACUGCACGACUAGAGUGUGUCAGAGGGGGGUGGAAUUCCACGUGUAGCAGUGAAAUGCGUAGAUAUGUGGAGGAACACCAAUGGCGAAGGCAGCCCCCUGGGAUAACACUGACGCUCAUGCACGAAAGCGUGGGGAGCAAACAGGAUUAGAAACCCGGUAGUCC
rnacentral:rRNA from 1 species